GCUAGUUAUUUUGGGGGGUUAUGGAAAUAAUUGGCUAGUUAAUUAGCAAAUAAUAAUAACCUAAUUAACUAGCUAUUUGAAUGUCAUAAAAGGGGAAGAAAAUGGUAGCAAAAAACAGAAAAUAAAAGGCAUGGCCGGCCCUAGUGGGUAACCGGCCUUUGGUAAGUUUUUUGGUUAUAAUUUGGUGGUUUAAUUGAUAAUUAAGGGAUUGAUUAGGUAAUUAAUCCCUUAAUUAGUCAAUUUUAGGAAAUAUGAAAGGAAUAUAUUAUUUAGCUAAUAAAUUAGCUAAAUAAUGGAAUAUAGAACAUAUAGAAUAAAUUAGAUUUUGGGAAUUACCUUAUAGAAAGGAUUUGAUGAAAUAGGCUUUAAAUUGUUACCUAUUUUGGGCACUUUUGACUUGGUUGAAAGAUGAUUGCCCACUACUCGUGCGUAGGAAUCCCGGUAUGCCUCAAGGGUAUUUUUGUCCUCUUUUGUCCAAAAAACCACGUGGCGCCUAGUGAAUAUUUUUGGCUCCACAUAAAUCAAUUUGUGAUUUAGUUGGAGGAUCCAAAACUUUAAGGUCACCAUCAGUGGCGAAGCCAGAAUUUGUUGGGGGGAGGGGCGAACUUAAAGAGUGCAAGGUUAAAAAAAUCGUAACAAUCAAAUCCUUUUAUGGUAAUGUUCUCCAUAAUUUAUCAAUACAAACAAAUUACAAUUGUUGCCGAAGACGUUUCAUAUCAUGAAAACUUUGCAUAUUAGGCUCAUUAUAGUAUCGUAACAUUACGUAGCUGUAUAAUGCGAAGAAAAAAAAGUCUUAGAUUCUUAAUCUUAGAGUAGAAUAUACCAUAUGACUAAUAACUAAUUAAACCAACAAUUUCAACUAAUUAAUAUCAAUAUCAUAUAAUUUAUUCAAUAAACAAAAAUUCAAUUAAUCAAUUAAUCAAUUAAUCUAUAAUCAAGAAUUAAAUUUAUACCCUACAUAACAAUUUCAUUCAUCAAUAAUUAUAGAAGUUCUUAUCAAUAAUCAAUAAUUAAUAGUCAUGUUGAUCAAUUACUCUAUGAUUCUAUAUAAAUGAAACAAAAUUUUGUAUUAAAUAAUCAAUUAGGGUUAGAUAUAUAAUAUAAAUUUAGAAAUUAAAGAUUUCAUCUAAAAAUUUGGAGAGAAGUGGCCAGCCAAACCAAAGGAUGAGGCCUAGAAGCUGUGGGCUGGGAGGUGGCUUGAACUUUGGAAUCAAGGAAAGCUAACGGCAUGUUGCUGGUUGCUGCUGGGAUUUGGAGAGCUGCUCCUCUCUUAUUGGUUUGACAUUGAAAGUGGGGAAGGAACAGGGGGUCUGGGAUAGUGAAGGCCACGGGGGACGAGUGGUCUCCCUUUAAUUAUAUAAUUUUUUUUUUAAACUCAAUAACCCAAAUGACAUCGUUCCACUUAAGGAAGUUUUUAAAUUUUUUAACCAGGACCAAAAUGACGUCGUUUUGGCCUAGUUUUUAUAGAAAACAAAAAUGAGCUUGCGAGCUGCAAGCUGCACAACAACAACAAACCCAGCAAACACAGACGAAUUCCAUCACUUCCGAUGGGACCAG
rnacentral:lncRNA from 1 species